rnacentral:misc_RNA from 1 species
GAUGAAGAACGCAGCGAAAUGCGAUACUUGGUGUGAAUUGCAGAAUCCCGUGAACCAUCGAGUCUUUGAACGCAAGUUGCGCCCGAAGCCGUCAGGCCGAGGGCACGCCUGCCUGGGCGUCACACGCCGUUGCCCCCCCGCGCCCCGCACCCAACUCUUUGGGAGCGACCGCGGGGCGGGCUGAUGAUGGCCUCCCGUGCGCUCCGCCGCGCGGUUGGCCCAAAUACCGAGUCCCCGGCGACGUGCGCCACGACGAUCGGUGGUUGAGAGACCUCUGUCGCAAGUCGUGCGCGCCCGUCGCGUCACGCGGGCUCGCAUAGCGCCUCGCGCCGCACCCGGGGCGGAGCUUUCAACGCGACCCCAGGUCAGGCGGGGUUACCCGCUGAAUUUAAGCAUAUCAAUAAGCGGAGGA